ensembl:processed_transcript
AGGCUGGCCGCCAGAGGCACUAAGGCGGCCGCCUAGUUCCAGCAGCUAAGCCGGCCUGGGGUUGCCUAGUUACUGCCCAGAGAACAAGGAAGAGGUUCUAAAUGCAGGCAGACGCUCUGGCAAUCUUCGUCAAACUCUGUGGUGGCGUUGGCGUCCUAGAGCUCCGGAGUUGCUUACCCUUCCUGUAAGGGCAAUCGGACCCUUUCCGGCAUGUGACAUAAUUAUCCCAGCGAUCACUAAAACUGUAAAUUUGGAUGCAAUUAAGAGAGAAAACUCCACACAUUUAUGGAAAUUUAAGAUAUUGAAUAUGUAGUAUAUGCCAGACAAGAUGAUAAUAAAAACUAAAAGCAUCUGGAUGUUGAAUUCUCAGCUCCUUCUCCAGGACCAUGUCUGCCUGGAUGCUGCCAUGCCAUGCUUCCUGCCAUGAGAAUAAUAGACUCAACCUCUGAAACUAUUUGCAGCUUGCUGGCUUGCUGAGUGGAAAAUGAUUCUUUCCCAGUUCUCCUUGGUUUCUUCCUUUCAUGAAUUGAUUAACACUGAGAGAUUAUGUUUUAAUUAUGUCGACUAGAGGUUUUAAAUGAUUCUAGGUUUCUGUGUCCAUUUGUUUUCCUAGGUUUGGGGAAUUUGCUACUGCAAUAUCGUUGUAUAGAUAUUCUUUGCUUUAGUGAGAAACUCAGCUCCUUCUACUCUGUGGUUCUUAGCUUUAGUCUAUUGUACACAUCACAGAGUUAAUGAAAGCUGUGGUCAUACUUGAUUUUUUCUUCAUUACUAUUGAAAUAAAGCAUAUCCUUGACCUUGUCUCCAAUCUCUAUUUUCAAGUCUGUUGGGGAUACAUUCCACUAUUGUUUGAUUGAAAUAUCCAUUUCCAACAUUUCUAUUACUUUGCUUCUUUUUUUUUUGUCCCCACCAAAAAUAAAUAUUUAUAGAAUUGUAAAUCAAAAUGAAACAUUUUUCUGUAUGUAUAAAAACAAAAGGAAACAAACAAAUAAAAAAAUCUGCAUAUUG